rnacentral:rRNA from 1 species
AUUGAACGCUGGCGGCAGGCUUAACACAUGCAAGUCGAACGAGUGGCGGACGGGUGAGUAAGGCUUGGGAAUCUAGCUUAUGGAGGGGGAUAACUACGGGAAACUGUAGCUAAUACCGCGUACCAUAGGAUGAGCCCAAGUGGGAUGAGGUAGUUGGUGAGGUAAAGGCUUACCAAGCCGACGAGCUCUAGCUGGUCUGCGCGGAUGACCCGCCAACCUGUGACUGAGACACGGCCCCGACUCCUACGGGAGGCAGCAGUGGGUAAUAUUGCGCACUGGGGGAAACCUGACGCAGCCAUGCCGCGUGAAUGAAGAAGGCCUUCGGGUUGUAAAGUUCUUUCGGUAGCGAAGCGUUAACUACAGAAGAAGCACCGGCUAACUCCGUGCCAGCAGCCGCGGUAAUUC